GUGCAUUUUAUGACAGGAAAUAAAGAGAGAUUUGUUGAAAGGGCAGUGGGAUGGAUAUAAACCCAUGUGCACAGGAGGCAAUGUUUGGAUCACCUUAGGCCAAGGAACUCUCUAUCUUAUCAGUCUAUUAACUAACUUAAAGCCUGGUGAGGUCACCAGGUAGGUACAAUCUCCAGUCCACCAAACAUGCAGAAUUUCAGACGGUCUUAUCAAACAGCUCCAUAACUUAAACGGCCAUCGUUUCCAAAAUGUCAGAGUAUAAUUCCAAUAUCAUAUUGGAAUUAUACUGCAUAUAAAACACUGUAAACAUUUCUUAUUGACUGCACUGGGACUUUAAAUGUGGAAUCAACACUCUAAACAAAGCGGACUUGGUAAAAGUCUGUUCUGUUCGAAUUGCACUGUAUUUAGAUGAUGUGUCAUCUUGUGGAAUCUUCAUGGUUGCCUCCCAUUGGUCAAUGGCUGCUGUUUAUCCUACUCCAAGCUGAGACUGAUGGGAUAGUGAUUUGUGACUCAGUAAAAUUCUCUCUGUGACCACAAUGCAGUAGGGAUUUAUGGAAGUGCCUGAUGUUAUUGUUUCUGUAGAGCUUUUACUGCUUGUACACAUGCGUCUACAAGCACAUGCACGUACACGCGCGUGCGUGCAUCCGCGUGCGUAUACACACACACACACACACACACACACACACACAGAAACUCAAAGAUAAGAAUGCAACACUAACUGCGCCCCUCUUUUUGGAUGUUUAUUCAUCUUAAUCUUUAGGCUUGAAGUAAGAGGUAUGCCAGGGAGGGGAGAAAUAUACUGAGAAAGAGAGUAUUGUGUAUUUCUAGUCCUUAUUUUUCUAUAUCAAUUUGUAUUUAUUCUUUGAAUUAGAAUCCUUGUGUAUUAGUAAAUGCAGAGGAACUAACUGAACAGUUUUUUUUAUACUCUGUAGUUUUGAUGACUUUAUGAACUGAUGAUGUAGCCAUGUCAAUGCUCAUAUUUGAUAUUAUUGCAAAAUGUGGUUGGUUGCUUCUGCUGCUGCUGCUUAAAUAUUGACUGCUGAGCAAAGAAAUGUUGCACUUUAUGGCUUAUGGUUUAAUCUGAAGUUAUGUAAUGAAUCUACAAAAAAAAUCCAGUUUAUAGUCAGUCAGUGUCAAAAGCUAGUUAUCCAUCCAAUAACAACAGAUUAUGUGAAUUUAGAAAAGUAUGCAUAAAGAAAUAUGCAAAUUAUUCCACCAAUGGUUUCCAUCAAACAGACUUGUUGCAGAUAAAAGCA
ensembl:lncRNA